GGAUAGCUCAGUGGUGGAGCAUGUGUUUAGCAUGCACGAGGUCCUGGGUUCAAUCCCCAGCACCUCCA
rnacentral:tRNA from 1 species